rnacentral:lncRNA from 1 species
UAUAAGCUCAUGGAUCUUGAAUUUAUCUUAUUCUUGAGAACUCAAUGAAAGUGCACUAAACACUCAUAUUUUGAAUACAUCAAUUCGCAAAACAUGACAAAUUCAUAGUUUGAUCCAUCUUUUGAAUCGAAUCACAGGUUGUUUUUUGUGUUCCUCAUAGAUUAUAUAAAAAACAAUAUACAAAGUCUUUAUUCGUCUUCCUUCAUUUGAAUCUAUCUGUAAUGAAUCACAGGUGCGUUAGAAUUCGGAUCCCACACACCUCCUUCCUUCACAUAUUCCAUAUACCUCGCAAACUCCGGUUUCGCCGUCGCCAAACUCUUCUUAGUCGGCUUCUUCUUCUUCUUCCUCUGAAAACGAACGUCGAAGAAACUUAGCAAAG